CAGCACCUUCUAUCAAAAAUGGAAAAUUGGCUAUGGAGAUUCCGUGCGGUCAGAAAUUAAUACAGACACAAAGGGCUUCAACAGGAAAGUCGUUUCGAUCCAAUCCAUUCUUGGGGUCAAAUAAAGACAAAAAAGGAUAUGUCAGUGACCUAGCACGACAAAGCACUCUCCGAGGGCAUGGAAUGUCUAAUUUUUUGGUCAGAAUAUCCACAGUAAUGUCUCUGUUAGAUUCUCCGGUCGAAAUAAGGGAAAGGUCAAUUCAAUUCUCGAUGGAAACGGAAUUUUGCGAAUGUCAGAAAUUAAUACAGACACAAAGGUUUUACAGGAAAGUCAUUUCGAUCCAAUCCAUUCUUGAGGUCAAAUAAAGAUAAAAAAGGAUAUGUCAGUGACCUAGCACGACAAAGCACUCUCCGAGGGCAUGGAAUGUCUAAUUUUUUGGUCAGAAUAUCCACAGUAAUGUCUCUGUUAGAUUCUCCGGUCGAAAUAAGGGAAAGGUCAAUUCAAUUCUCGAUGGAAACGU
rnacentral:lncRNA from 1 species